rnacentral:rRNA from 1 species
AACGAACGCUGGCGGCAUGCCUAACACAUGCAAGUCGAACGAGACCUUCGGGCCUGCUGGCGCACGGGUUCGUAACGCGUGGGAACCUGCCUUUAGGUUCUGAAUAACUCCCCGAAAGGGGUGCUAAUACCGGAUAAUGUUUUCGGACCAAAGACUUAUCGCGUUUGGAUGUGGCCGCGUUGGAUUAGUUAGUUGGUAGGGUAAAAGCCUACCACGGCGACGAGCCAUAGCUGGUCGGUGAGGAUGAACAGCCACACUGGGACUGAGACCAGGCCCAGACUCCUACGGGAAGCAGGAGUGGGGGAUAAAGGGGCAUGGGCGAGAGGCUGAGCCGGCAAGGCCGCGUGAGUGAUGAAGGCCUUAGGGUUGUAAAGCUCUUUUAACCGAGAUGAUAAUGACAGUACCGGGAGAAUAAGCUCCGGCUAACUACGUG